GACGAACGCUGGCGGCGUGCUUAACACAUGCAAGUCGAACGGAAAGGCCCUGCUUUUGUGGGGUGCUCGAGUGGCGAACGGGUGAGUAACGCGUGAGUAACCUGCCCUUGACUUUGGGAUAACUUCAGGAAACUGGGGCUAAUACCGGAUAGGAGCUCCUGCUGCAUGGUGGGGGUUGGAAAGUUUCGGCGGUUGGGGAUGGACUCGCGGCUUAUCAGCUUGUUGGUGGGGUAGUGGCUUACCAAGGCUUUGACGGGUAGCCGGCCUGAGAGGGUGACCGGCCACAUUGGGACUGAGAUACGGCCCAGACUCCUACGGGAGGCAACAGUGGGGAAUAUUGCACAAUGGGCGGAAGCCUGAUGCAGCAACGCCGCGUGCGGGAUGACGGCCUUCGGGUUGUAAACCGCUUUCGCCUGUGACGAAGCGUGAGUGACGGUAAUGGGUAAAGAAGCACCGGCUAACUACGU
rnacentral:rRNA from 1 species